GAUGAACGCUGGCGGCGUGCCUAAUACAUGCAAGUCGAGCGAACGGACGAGAAGCUUGCUUCUCUGAUGUUAGCGGCGGACGGGUGAGUAACACGUGGAUAACCUACCUAUAAGACUGGGAUAACUUCGGGAAACCGGAGCUAAUACCGGAUAAUAUUUUGAACCGCAUGGUUCAAAAGUGAAAGACGGUCUUGCUGUCACUUAUGGAUGGAUCCGCGCUGCAUUAGCUAGUUGGUAAGGUAACGGCUUACCAAGGCAACGAUGCAUAGCCGACCUGAGAGGGUGAUCGGCCACACUGGAACUGAGACACGGUCCAGACUCCUACGGGAGGCAGCAGUAGGGAAUCUUCCGCAAUGGGCGAAAGCCUGACGGAGCAACGCCGCGUGAGUGAUGAAGGUCUUCGGAUCGUAAAACUCUGUUAUUAGAGAAGAACAUAUGUGUAAGUAACUGUGCACAUCUUGACGGUACCUAAUCAGAAAGCCACGGCUAACUACGUG
rnacentral:rRNA from 1 species